rnacentral:rRNA from 1 species
AUUUAAAUUAAUAUAUAAAUUAUUUAUUUAAAUAUAAUAUUAAAUAUAUUAAUAAAAGUAUUUUUUAUUUUAGUAUACAUAUAGAAAUAAUUAUUUAAUAGUAAUAGUUUAUAGUACUGUGAGGGAAUUUAUAUUUAUUAUAAAUAAGCAUAAUUUAAUUUUAGUACCUUUUGUAUCAGGGCUUAUUAAUAUUAUAAAUAUAUAUAUUUUAUCCCGAAAUUAAAUGAUCUAUUAUAUUAGAUUUUAUAUUAUAUCAUAAAUAUAUAUAAUAAUAUAAUAGUAGUAAUAUGUUAAUUCACAUUUAAUAUAUCUGGUUAUUUAAUAAAUUAAUUUAAUUAAGACUUUGUUUAAUUUAAUAUAAACUAUAUUAUUUAUAUUAAAAAAUAAUGUUAAUGUUAUUGGGGAUAAGCUCAUUAAUAUAUCUAAAAUCAUUAUUUAAUAUAGAGUUUUGUAGGCUUAAUAGCGGUCAUCAUUUAUUUCGUUAUAGAAAUUCUCUUUAUAUAUUUUAUUUAAUAAAGAUUUAGGAAAUUAUUAAAUAUUAUUAAUUAAUAAAUUAUUAUUAGUUAUAAUGAUAGGAUUAGUAUUUAAUGAGAUAUAAUAUAGUAAUUCGGCAAAUUUUAUUUUCACCUGUUUAACAAAAACAUGUCCUUUUGUUUAUUAAUAUAAGGUCUAACCUGCUCUAUGAUUUUAUAUUAAAUGGCCGCAGUAUCUUAACUGUGCGAAGGUAGCAUAAUCAUUUGCCCCUUAAUUGGGGGCUUGUAUGAAUGGUUUGAUGAAAGAUAAUCUUUCUUUAUUAUACUUAAAAUAAUUUGAUUUAUAGGUUAAAAAGCUUAUAUUAUUUUAAAAGACGAGAAGACCCUAUAGAAUUUUAAUUAAUAUUUUAUAAAUAAUGUGUUAGUUAAUAAGAAGUUUUUAUAUAAUAUUAGUUUUUGUUGGGGCGACAGUUAAAUUUUCAUAACUUUAAUUCAUUAAUAAUUCAUUAAUUUAUGAUUAUAUUUGAUCCAUUUUUAUUGAUUAGAAGAAUAAAUUACCUUAGGGAUAACAGCGUAAUUCUAUUGGAGAGUUCAUAUUAAUAAUAGAGGUUGCGACCUCGAUGUUGGAUUAAAAUAAGUAUUAGGUGCAGAAGCUUAAUAACUAAGUCUGUUCGACUUUUAAUUUUUUACAUGAUCUGAGUUCAAACCGGCGUGAGCCAGGUUGGUUUCUAUCUUUAAUAUAAAUUUUAAAGUCUUAGUACGAAAGGACCAGGCAUUAGGAAUAUUUUUAUAUAUAUAUAUUGAAUUAUAUUAA